UACAGAGGGUGCGAGCGUUAAUCGGAAUUACUGGGCGUAAAGGGUGCGUAGGUGGUUGUAUAAGUUAGGUGUGAAAUUCCUGGGCUUAACCUGGGGACUGUGCCUAAUACUGUACGGCUAGAGUCUUGUAGAGGAAGGUGGAAUUUCCGGUGUAGCGGUGAAAUGCGUAGAUAUCGGAAGGAACAUCAGUGGCGAAGGCGACCUUCUGGACAAAGACUGACACUGAGGCACGAAAGCAUGGGGAGCAAACAGG
rnacentral:rRNA from 1 species